rnacentral:lncRNA from 1 species
UUGAAGGAUGAGUUGGAAUUUUCCAGCUGGAGAAAAUGAGGGAGGAAAGGAUAAAUUUCCAGGAAGGGAUCAGUAUAGGCAGGCUUGGAAGGAGAUGAUGGAUUGGGGAAAUGGCAAGUUGUUGGGUAUUAGGGUAUUGAGGAGGGAGAUGAAAUUGGAGUACUCCGCUGUGGUCAGAAAUCAAAAGGCCACAUUCACCAAAUGUAAGUUUGGAACUUCCUCCCCAGGCAGUGGAGGGCUGUUGGGAGCAGGGGUGAGGAGGAUCAGAGCUGUAUUUUGGAAAAAUCCCUCUGCCUCUGUGGGGACGGAUGGGAAAGGCUCUACUUGCAGUGAGAGCAUGGUUGGUGACCUAACCAUGGAGUGGGCCUGCCUGUUGAGCCAUUCUGCUGUGAAGAGAUGGGGGUAAGUUCACGGAGAGCUGGCAUUGAAGGAUGGCUGGGAAGUCUCUGUGCUAGGAUGGGGCAGGCAAUGGCAAUGUGUGUUCUAGAUACUGAUGUGACUCACCUGCAGUGAGGAGCAGAAUUCCUAAGGUCCCCAGGAGGGCAGGAAAGGUGGGGAUUCACAUUCAGCCACAAUGGUCAAGAAAGAGAAAAGGAGUGGGGCUUCAGAACACCUGGGGGUUGAUGAUGUCUUACACUUGGUGUUUCUCAAGUCCCAGGGCUCAGGUCUGGAGAAAAGGUGAUUAUGUAGGUCAGCGUCUCCAACUAUAGAAAACAAGGCACUUGCUAGCGUAAGCUCAAGGCCAUCCUCAGGA